rnacentral:rRNA from 1 species
CCUACGGGCGGCUGCAGUGGGGAAUAUUGCACAAUGGGCGGAAGCCUGAUGCAGCAACGCCGCGUGCGGGAUGACGGCCUUCGGGUUGUAAACCGCUUUCAGCAGGGACGAAGCUAACGUGACGGUACCUGCAGAAGAAGCACCGGCUAACUACGUGCCAGCAGCCGCGGUGAUACGUAGGGUGCGAGCGUUGUCCGGAUUUAUUGGGCGUAAAGAGCUUGUAGGCGGUUUGUCGCGUCGGGAGUGAAAACUCAGGGCUUAACCCUGAGCCUGCUUCCGAUACGGGCAGACUUGAGGAAGGUAGGGGAGAAUGGAAUUCCUGGUGAAGCGGUGGAAUGCGUAGAUAUCAGGAGGAACACCAGUGGCGAAGGCGGUUCUCUGGACCUUUCCUGACGCUGAGAAGCGAAAGCGUGGGGAGCAAACAGGCUUAGAUACCCCAGUAGUC